rnacentral:rRNA from 1 species
AUCCUACGGGGGGCAGCAGUGAGGAAUAUUGGUCAAUGGGCGGGAGCCUGAACCAGCCAAGUCGCGUGAGGGAAGACGGUCCUAUGGAUUGUAAACCUCUUUCGGCGGGGAGCAAUGCCGGGCACGUGUGCCCGGAGGGAGAGUACCCGCAGAAUAAGCAUCGGCUAACUCCGUGCCAGCAGCCGCGGUAAUACGGAGGAUGCGAGCGUUACCCGGAUUUACUGGGUGUAAAGGGCGUGCAGCCGGAGAGACAAGUCAGAUGUGAAAUCCACGGGCUCAACCCGUGAACUGCAUUUGAAACUGUU